GCCGGGGUGGUGGAAUUUGGUAGACACGCACGUUUGAGGGGCGUGUGGGGCAACCCGUACGGGUUCGAGUCCCGUCCCCGGCA
rnacentral:tRNA from 1 species